UACGUAGGGUGCGAGCGUUAAUCGGAAUUACUGGGCGUAAAGCGUGCGCAGGCGGUUUUGCAAGCCGGAUGUGAAAUCCCCGGGCUCAACCUGGGAAUGGCAUUCGGGACUGCAAGGCUGGAGUGCGGCAGAGGAGACUGGAAUUCCUGGUGUAGCAGUGAAAUGCGUAGAUAUCAGGAGGAAUACCGAUGGUGUAGACGGCUUUCUGGACCGUAACUGACGCUGAGACACGAAAGCGUGGGUAGCAAACAGG
rnacentral:rRNA from 1 species